GGGAUCUCAUGGAACGCUUCUUCGUGAAGCCUCUGCCUUCUGGUUUACUUGGAACAAGACGGAAGAGAGUCACUCUUACCGUCGUGCAUACCUUAAGCGGGUCUGCCGCCUUCGUUUCUCUUUCUUCGCGAAUGACUUUGACUUGCGCUCGCGCGCCGCAUCGCACCCUUUGGGUGCUGGCGCUCCGCGAGGGCGCGGCACAAGCCGCGACGGCCGGUUGGCCUUGCGAGACUUGCGUCUCGUUGGCGAAAGCCGAUUUACGGCGCAGUCUUGGGGCUUGUAGCUCAGUUGGUUAGAGCGCGCGCUUGAUAAGCGUGAGGUCGGAGGUUCAAGUCCUCCCAGGCCCACCAUUUCCUCGACGAGUUCGGAGAGGUAUUAUUCAGGGGCCGUAGCUCAGCUGGGAGAGCGCCUGCUUUGCAAGCAGGAUGUCGUCGGUUCGAUCCCGUCCGGCUCCACCAUCUCCGCGCAAUCCGCAGGAUUGUCGCUUCUUCUCAGGGGAAGGUGUCGAGUGGAUGUGAAACCGGUUGCAAAGUCAUUCGUUUUAAGAGUUUGCGGCGAGCCUUUUGGCUCUCCGCCUGUUCUGUAUGACAUCGUAAAGAGAAGAUUUGUUCGAACUUCAUAUCCUUACAAGGGGUGUGAUUUGUCGCGGGAGACGCUCAAUCUCCCGCAUAUGAUGGGUUUGCCUAACCGCACCCUCGAACCGAUCUCGAGAAGCUGGUCUUUUUGUGCCAAUGACAUCAGGCGAUAAUCCUGCACAGGAUUGAGCCGAGGCGACGAUCUCUUGGAGGUCGCGCUGAGCGAUGAUCCUUCGGAUCACGCUGAAGCAAAAAUCCUUCGGGAUUUAGCUGAAGCGACGAUCCCUUUGGGAUAGCGCUGAUGGGUAUUGGCAAUGAGAACGAUCAAGUGUCUUAAGGGCAAUUGGUGGAUGCCUUGGCAUGCACAGGCGAUGAAGGACGUGAUACGCUGCGAUAAGCUACGGGGAGGUGCGAAUACCUAAAUGG
rnacentral:misc_RNA from 1 species